AAGUAGUAGUUGGAAAUUGAUGAAAUUGCAUGUUUUUUGAAGGUAUAAGGUGAAGGUAUUUGAAGUGGCAGUGAGGAGGAACACCAUUGCUGUGUUGGAUACCGGGGUGGGAAGACUAAUAUUGGUAUCGGGUGAAGGUGUUAAAGUGGCAAUGAGAAGGAACGCCAUUGCUGGGUUGGAUACAGGGGAUGGGAAGACUAAUAUAGCAGUGAUGAUGAUUAUAGAGAAAUUGGGAAAACAUUGAGGAAUGUUGAUGAGAAGAAGUUUAUUGGGUUCUUAGCCCCCACUGUUCAUCUAGUUCAUCAGGCAAAAUCUUUGUGCACGAAAAAUGGAGGCACAACACACUUGACAAGAUGCGCGAAUACAGUACCUGGUACUGUUCCUUGAUAAAAGGUAGCCCGCUCCUUUUAGAUAUUUUAAAUGUAUUAUAUAACAAAUUUAGUGUCUAUGUAUAAUUUUCUUGACU